GUUUAUACUGUAUAGUGAGUAAUGCCUGUAAAUUGUUCAGUGAUUAUUUCAUGUCUCAGUGGAAGCUGUAGGUUGAUGAAGCUUGAUGUGUAUUGACAAACGGCGAGACAUCAACCAGUCAGUUGCCUGACUUUAAUUUUCCUAAUGAAAGUUGUCAGCACACAUUUUGUGCUCUUGGUGUUUAUAUUGUUGUAUGCCUACAAGCCUAUGUUAUAUUGUUUGUAUGCCUAAAAUCAUUGAACUGCAUUAGGUACGAAUAAGGACAUAAGGCACUGGCUAUGAUUCUUUGUAGAUGUAGGGUUAUGCAAAUAUUAAAUUGGAGUUUAGUUUAAUACUGUAAAUAGUAAAUACUGUACUACCAGUAACAGUAUAUGUUAUAAGAUUAAAUUACACGUGUGACAUAUAUGUGAGUAGCUAUGGCAAGAAUUUUGUUUAUAUUUUGUAUACAUGUACUAUAUGUGGUUACAGUACAAAUUGUUGUAAUAAUCAUAUUGAGUUAGUAUUAGGCAAAAGUAGUAUGUUAAUUGAAAUAUUGAGAACUUUUCAUUUAGCUUGAUUAAAUUCUUUAUCUGCAGACUUGACCUGCAAAUGCUCAAUGUUUACUUGUACUGAAUUCAAUUAUUAUUUUAGUUUCUGGGUAAUGUCCAAUACUGUACUUAAAUGUGUUUGGGUUCUUGUAUGUUAAAAUUUAAGGAUUGUAUACUUGAUAAACUUGAGUGAUAGAGAGGACAUCAUAGAUGUCGAGUGAUUAUUGCACAGAGCAACCUGGAGGUACAGUAUAUGGGGCUUGUCUAAUUGUAUACCAAUAUUUUUGUGUAUGUAAUAAAAUAUAAUUGAAGGCUCAGAUCAGCAGUACUGUUAUGUUAUCAGUGCCAUCUUUAAUUAUAUUUUGGCUCAUUUUAUUGUUGCAUUAAAUAAGAGGCUCAAA